rnacentral:lncRNA from 1 species
CCAAAAAGAAAGAUUCGAUGCUAAGAUCCACUGUACAAUGCUAAGAGUUGAUGAAAAAAGAAAAUCAUACCUAGGAGGUAUGUAAUAAGCAACUAUACCAUAAAUUGGAUGUCAUUGAAAGAUGUAUCAGGCAACAGUAUCUUGAUCAUACCUUCUAUCGACUUUCAAAAAUAUAUGGCCCUAACCAUACUUUGGAUAGUCUUCUUCAUAUCAAUGCCUACCCCAUUAAGGAGUAGGCCCAAAAUUAUGGUGAUGUCUUCCAUACGGAGGAUUAAAGUCUAUCUUCCCAAUCGAAAACCCUCCUUGCUCUCAUCCCAGCAAUAGACGAGUUGGUCUAUAACUAUCGGCUCCUUGUACUCAGUAGGAUAUUAAGUAUAUAAUAGAAAGGCAUCUGCCGUAUCAACUCCCUAUGGAUAUUCAUCAACUACUCUGAGAUGCCCCUAAUGAACUCCAUGUAUCACUUCAAGUCGCAAUGGCAAUUAAUCAGAUAGGAGAGAGCUCUUAAUAUGGUAUAAACACCAAAUAGUUACACCCCACAAAAAUACAAUUUAGGCCCUGGAAUCCUAAACUGAAGGUUAUAUAUUUGCAUCUUAUACUCCUAUUGCUAUCAACUCAUUUUUUCCUUAGCUGUCCUACAUGACUAUACAAUUUCUACCAUUUAACAACCAAUCCUUACCAUCAAUCAAAGAUGCUAUGUGGCAAACAUGAAACACUAUAGUGAUUGUUAAUUAGAUCAUGCUCCAUAGUAAUAGAAUACUAAUAAAUCGAUGAAUCAAACUUCAUACAUCACAAUUAGUAUUGCAUAUUUUCAAUUCAUGUGCCCUAUGAUGUAUUUUAGCACAUUAGUAUGAUUUCUCUUUAUUUUGAAAUCCCCAUGCACA